GUGAUACUGGACAGUGGUCAGACUGAAGGCAAGUUAUUGACUUUUUUGUUUGUGAUAAUCCGUGCUUUAACUUCAUGAUGGCCGAUUCUGAGGGGCAGAAGGAGGAGCCUAGGGAUGUGGUACCAGAAGAAGUUCACAACUCAGACUGUGAGGAGGAGCUGCCAUGUCUGUCAGGUGCUCAGGCCAAUGCAACUGAUCAAAAAAGUUUCAAGUAAGUCAACAUUUAAACAUUUUCAGGACUUUUCCA